rnacentral:rRNA from 1 species
UACGUAGGGGGCAAGCGUUGUCCGGAAUCAUUGGGCGUAAAGCGCGUGUAGGCGGCCCGAUAAGUCCGCUGUGAAAGUCCAGGGCUCAACCCUGGAAUGCCGGUGGAUACUGUCGGGCUCGAGUCCGGAAGAGGCGAGUGGAAUUCCUGGUGUAGCGGUGAAAUGCGCAGAUAUCAGGAGGAACACCGAUGGCGAAGGCAGCUCGCUGGGACGGUACUGACGCUGAGACGCGAAAGCGAGGGGAGCGAACAGG